GUGAGUCAUCGAAUCUUUGAACGCACAUUGCGCCCCGUGGCAUUCCGCGGGGCAUGCCUGUUCGAGCGUCAUUUCAGCCCUCAAGCGCGGCUUGAUGUUGGGCGCGGCCUGCGCGGCCGGCCCCAAAGACAGUGGCGGCGCCGUCGGGCCCCUGAGCGCAGUAUAUGACCCUCGCUCCAGGGACCCCCGGUGGCCUGCCAGAACCCCUAAAUCUGUGGUUGACCUCGGAUCAGGUAGGGAUACCCGCUGAACUUAAGCAUAUCAAUAAGCGGAGGA
rnacentral:misc_RNA from 1 species